UACAGGGGGGGCGGGCGUUACUGGGAAUUACUGGGCGUAAAGCGCACGUAGGGGGCGACGUAAGUCGGGUGUGAAAACCCCGGGCUCAACCUGGGAAUUGCAUUCGAAACUGCAUUGCUGGAGUACGGAAGAGGAGGGCGGAAUUCCCGGUGUAGCGGUGAAAUGCGUAGAUAUCGGGAGGAACAUCAGUGGCGAAGGCGGCCCUCUGGUCCAGUACUGACACUCAAGCGCGAAAGCGUGGGGAGCAAACAGG
rnacentral:rRNA from 1 species